rnacentral:misc_RNA from 1 species
GACUUACUCAUCCUCCCCUGUCGUCGUACUCUUUUUCUUCUUGCUUCUUGUCUCUGCAGCUUCAGGCCGCGGAGUUCCUGCAGCGACUGCUGCAGAUAAGAAAGUGGACAAGGAGUGCCUUGACCAGGAGGGGAGUGUUCUUAUCCCCGGGAUCGGGCGCUACAUGAAAGGCAGCCAUGAGGGCAUUCCUUCCUUUACUGACUUA